GCGGUGGUGAUUCAGUGGCAGGAUUCUUGCCUUCUGUGGAGGAGGCCCGGGUUUGAUUCCUGGCCAGUGCA
rnacentral:tRNA from 1 species